GGAAAAUUACAACACACAUGAAGUACAGUUGGUAUUUAGUAAUUCUGUAACACAACUUUAUUUCAGCUACCUGGUCAUUUCAUAUAAAUCAAUUUAUAUAAUCACUCUCAGCUCUUAAUACAAUGUUCUUACAUAACAAUUGAAAAAAAUGAUAAUACCAAUCAUUUCAGCAUUAUUUUGUAAUGAAAUUUGAUGGCUCAAAGUGAUUGCUGUUGUCAUGCUGUCAAUAUUUGGAAGGUGGUGUUUUUCAUGGAUCUUUUUUUUUUUUGCUGAAAUUUCCCAAGUGUUUUGAUCCAAAUGCCAGAAUAUCAAAUACAGGGGAAUUUGAGAACAAUUUUAUUGCACAAUGCCUUGUUUGCUUCCACAGUAAAAACUCAGCCAAAGUCAGUCAAAAAGGUUCGAAACUGGCACUAUCCCACACACCACUGAGGCUGAUUGUAGAGUUAUUACAGGCAGUCUAUCUCACAGAUAGACAACGCUUUAAGAUAGACUUCAUAGUCGUUUGAGAGCCAACAGUGUUUGUAGGAAACUGCCAAAUCCAGGUUGAGAUUUCAGAUCGGAUUAACAGACAUCCUUCUGCAGCCUCCAAGGGCAACAAAACUCUGCUGUGAUGAGGUGACACUUCCAGUCCCUCAAUGCUUGGCCAAAGAAAACACAGCGGAAAGGGAGAGGCUGGAAAGGAAGAGGAGGAGAUCUAUAGAGUUGAUAGAUAGGCAGGUAUUGGAAGCUCCACUGGAGGUAAAACACUGUCCUGAGGAGAAGCUCGAUGUUAGCUGUGCAGACAGGAGAAUAAUUCACUGGGAUGUAUUUAUCCAGCCGGCCCAGGGAUUCAGUCCAGGACCCUGCUACCUUCAAGGAGUCUCUCUCACUUUUUGGCUACCAUUGCCUUCCACCAUUUUUGGGCUUUGCCAGAAAGUUUGGAAAAUUCUGGGUAUUCAGCAGCCCCAGGCACACGCUAUGUAUAAGUGGUGUCAAGGGUUUGAAUACGACUACAGAUGGCCUUGCAAUAUUUCAUCCCCAAGUCUUCCUUUGUAUUUUCCACUGUAUACUCUCCUAAAAGGCAGAUAUGCUAUAAAAAAUAAUUGUUAUAAUGAAUGUUUUAACUUUGGUUAAGUCCUGGCCCUCUAACCCUAGACUUUGUGGCUUACUGAUGCUAAGCAGCUCUUGGCAUGAGUGUAACUCUGCGAUUAGUGCCCCUUUAAACACUUAUAAUUCACAGCCUAUGAAAAUAUUAUCAGAGAGGGCCGGCGCGCUGCCUGAGGGGGUCAGGAGGUUGUUUUAAUGGUACCAUGGGCUCAGUGUGUUGAACUGUUCAAGCUUACAGCAUUAGGGAUGCCUUAAAUCACUUCCAGGGGGUUGAGAAUUUGAAGAAAAACUAUAUGAGAUAUAAUCAUAUAUGUACGGAGUAAUGUAAACGUGAAAAUUAGGCAUAAUGCUCUGCCUGGAACAUGUGGAAAUUAUUUUAAAAGUUUGAAUUAUAAUGACAAAUGGUUUGUUUUUCCAGUGUUGUGUAUAAAGGAAAGGCCUGAAUUCUCAUAUGUUCACAUCUGCACAUGCAUAUAUACACACACCCACACACCUCUGCUCAGACCUAAAUUUCCUGUUAAGUAGUAGUAGGAGGUGAAUGUGAAAGAUUUGUCAUUAGGCUAGUGGCUCAUAUCAGCUGACAGUUUAUACAAGGAAGCUUAAAUAUCAAUAAAUACUUUGUUCUGCUACACAGGUGCUUUCUGUUUCCAAGACAUGUGUCGAAGAAAGAAAUAAUGAAAAAUAUCCAAGAAACGUUGACUCAGUGAAUGGCAAUCAAGGUUGCACUACAGCAUGGUUUCGUUUCUCCAAAUGUAAGCAUCAUAUUAGAUCAAAAAAAUAGACUUUUAUACCGUGUGCCAAAUUAGGAAAGUGGUAAAACUGUUUUCACAAAAUAACUAAAUCACUAGGGUUUAAUUUUGCGGACAGUGAUUUAUUUUUCUUUUCUUAUUUCCUGGUAACUCCCCAUUGCAUAUUGUAGUGUGAUGUGUGUGUAGAGUCUGUAUUUUUCAAGGGAGAAAGUCUUUCAAACUAAAUUAUGAUGCAGAGCUCACAGAAAGGAAAUCCAGAGCAGAAUUUGUCUCUUACUGUAGAGAUCAAGGUUGCUGCUGUAACAUGUGUUAUGUGUGUAUGUAUGUUAUGUUAUCCAUGUGUUACAAGGAUCUCCCGCUGCAGUUUGCAAUAUGUGGGGUGAAUUAAAAAUGUCUUCUAAUGUUUAAAAAGCGUAUAGUUGAAAA